rnacentral:rRNA from 1 species
GGACCCGCACAAGUAGUGGAGCAUGUGGUUUAAUUCGAAGAUACGCGCAGAACCUUACCAACACUUGACAUGUUCGUCGCGACUUUAAGAGAUUAGAGUCUUCGGUUCGGCCGGACAAAACACAGGUGCUGCAUGGCUGUCGUCAGCUCGUGUCGUGAGAUGUUGGGUUAAGUCCCGCAACGAGCGCAACCCUCACUUUUAGUUGCCAUCAUUAAGUUGGGCACUCUGAAAGAACUGCCAGUGAUAAGCUGGAGGAAGGUGGGGAUGACGUCAAGUCCUCAUGGCCCUUACGUGUUGGGCUACACACGUGCUACAAUGGUAUCUACAACAGGAAGCAAGACGGCGACGUUAAGCAAAUCCUUAAAAGAUACCUCAGUUCGGAUUGCACUCUGCAACUCGAGUGCAUGAAGCUGGAAUUACUAGUAAUCGU